GUGAAUCAUCGAAUUUUUGAACGCACAUUGCGCUCUUUGGUAUUCCGGAGAGCAUGCCUGUUUGAGGGUCAGUUUAAAUAAAAAUCGGUGUGGUUGCUGUCUUUCGUGGUGACGCACGGGAUGUGGGUCGUCUUGCUUUUGGUUAAGUGACUUAAAAUUUUGCAGGAUUUUUUCGUAAGAAUUUAAAUGAUUUUAC
rnacentral:misc_RNA from 1 species